AUUGAACGCUGGCGGCAGGCCUAACACAUGCAAGUCGAACGAGUGGCGGACGGGUGAGUAAUGUCUGGGAAACUGCCCGAUGGAGGGGGGUAACUACUGGAAACGGUAGCUAAUACCGCAUACCAUCGGAUGUGCCCAGUUUGGAUUAGCUAGUAGGUGGGGUAACGGCUCACCUAGGCGACGAUCCAUAGCUGGUCUGAGAGGAUGACCAGCCACACUGGAACUGAUACACGGUCCAGACGCCUACGGUAGGCAGCAGUGGUGAAUAUUGCACAAUGGGCGCAAUCCUGAUACAGCCAUGCCGCGUGGAUGAAGAAGGCCUUCGGGUUGUAAAGUACUUUCAGCGAGGAGGCGUUACUCGCAGAAGAAGCACCGGCUAACUCCGUGCCAGCAGCCGCGGUAAUAC
rnacentral:rRNA from 1 species